AGCGAACGCCGGCGGCAGGCCUAACACAUGCAAGUCGAACGAAGCCUUCGGGCUUAGUGGCGGACGGGUGAGUAACACGUGGGAACAUACCUUUUGGUUCGGAAUAACGCAGAGAAAUUUGCGCUAAUACCGAAUGAGCCCUUAGGGGGAAAGAUUUAUCGCCGAAAGAUCGGCCCGCGUUGGAUUAGGUAGUUGGUGUGGUAAAGGCGCACCAAGCCUACGAUCCAUAGCUGGUCUGAGAGGAUGAUCAGCCACACUGGGACUGAGACACGGCCCAGACUCCUACGGGAGGCAGCAGUGGGGAAUCUUGCGCAAUGGGCGAAAGCCUGACGCAGCCAUGCCGCGUGAAUGAUGAAGGUCUUAGGAUUGUAAAAUUCUUUUACCAGGGACGAUAAUGACGGUACCUGGAGAAAAAGCCCCGGCUAACUUCGUGCCAGCCGCCGCCGUAACAC
rnacentral:rRNA from 1 species